ACGUACACUCCUACGGGAGGCAGCAGUGGGGAAUAUUGCACAAUGGGCGCAAGCCUGAUGCAGCCAUGCCGCGUGUAUGAAGAAGGCCUUCGGGUUGUAAAGUACUUUCAGCGGGGAGGAAGGCGAUAAGGUUAAUAACCUUGUUGAUUGACGUUACCCGCAGAAGAAGCACCGGCUAACUCCGUGCCAGCAGCCGCGGUAAUACGGAGGGUGCAAGCGUUAAUCGGAAUUACUGGGCGUAAAGCGCACGUAGGCGGUCUGUCAAGUCGGACGUGAAAUCCCCGGGCUCAACCUGGGAACUGCAUUCGAAACUGGCAGGCUAGAGUCUUGUAGAGGGGGGUAGAAUUCCAGGUGUAGCGGUGAAAUGCGUAGAGAUCUGGAGGAAUACCGGUGGCGAAGGCGGCCCCCUGGACAAAGACUGACGCUCAGGUGCGAAAGCGUGGGGAGCAAACAGGAUUAGAAACCCCUGUAGUCCCAUGAU
rnacentral:rRNA from 1 species